rnacentral:miRNA from 1 species
UAUUGAAGGAGAGUAGAGUCAGGACAGGUGGGGUGAAAGGAUGUGAGGUCCUGGGCAAGAACUUGGCCAAAGAGAUGGGGGCUAUCCCUAAAUCCCUGUGGCCAAGUUCUUGCCCAGGACCUCACAUCCUUUCACCCCACCUGUCCUGACUCUACUCUCCUUCAAUAUGU